UUAAUUGAAGCCAAAAAGCGGCAUAUCACUGUUAAUGAUAAUAUUGGAUAAAAUUAUUCCCAAUUAAA
rnacentral:tRNA from 1 species